UAAUCAAUCUGAUUUCGGUGUUGACCAUCUGGUGAUGUCCAUGUAUAUAGAGUCUUCUCUGCACAUGGAAGAGGGUAGUUUUUUGUUGGAAGAGGGUGUUUGCUAUGACCAGCAAACACUUCUUAUCUUCAAAGGUGACUAAAAACUAUAAUUAUUCUACAAUUUACUGAAAGUGAGAAAUUAAUACCAUGUCUAGUUAUGAGUAUAUGAGCAAAAACAUAAAUAAAUAAAAAUAAACAAAUCAAAAUAAUUAACAAUUAGAAGAAAACUAGAGAACUACUCUUACAAGGCAACUGUGAUUGUAGUGAAAAGAUAUCCAGUGAAUAUCAUUCACACGUAAAAUUCAGUACUAAGUUUUGAAAGGAAAGAAAUGGAAACAAACACUGAGCCAGAAAGUUUAUAUUUCAUUCUCAAGAUAUUCUGAUGAGGAGGGUUAUUUAUACCUAUGUUUCCAACAAGGGAUCUGAAUUUCAAGUAUAGUAACAAAUCCUCCUGAAAUCACAGAGUUGUUAUCUUUUUUUUUUUUAAUGUAUACCAAUUUUAUUCUAAAGCCCAUAUAAUUGUAUUNNNNNNNNNNNNNNNNNNNNNNNNNNNNNNNNNNNNNNNNNNNNNNNNNNNNNNNNNNNNNNNNNNNNNNNNNNNNNNNNNNGCCUGGAGCUGAGAUUCUGAUGUUUAACUUUCCCCCACAGAGUUUACCAGGUAGAAAUCUCUUUACCAGAUGGAAAACUUUUCUUUUUUCAUUGAUGAUACCUUUUCCUACAGUUUUAAAUUGGAACAUAUCUUGCCUCAGGAAGCUUUAAAUUGUUAUUACAAGCUUUUCCCUGAUGAAGUGUUCUUGUCUACAUUUAUUUGGAAUUGUGCCCUGCCAGUCCUCCACCAGCUGUACUGUCCUUCCAGGAUGAUUUUCUGUUGCACCUUGCAACAGAAGUCAUUGCAUCUUACUCAUUUGCAUUUAAUUCAUUAUGCAGAUAAAUGUAAUAAAUGUGUAAUUAUGUAUUUUGACAAAUACUAUGAUGAAAAAAUAGGGGUUUAAUAGAAAAAACUAAGAGAAGGAUCUAAUUUUUGAGAUAUUAAAAUUCAGAGGGGGCUCUCUAGGAAGUAAUCAUUGAGAAGGAACCUGAAGGUGAAUUAAAUAAAAGGGGAGUGAACAUGAAUGUCACAGGAAGGAGGAACUACUUCAAGAAACAUCAAUCCCUGAGGUAAAAAAUACAUUCCAAGAGCUGAAUUAGGUCAGCCUGGAAAGGAGCAAUGAAUGACAGCAUGGGACCCCACAGGAGGCUGCAGUAAUUGCAGUAUUAAGUUAGGGGGAGUACAAUGGAACACACUUUAAUUUUCUUGUUUAUUGAUGAGUUAGAAACAGAAAAGCAAUAUGAUUGUUAUGGACUGAAUGCUUAUGUCCCUCCUCAAACUCAUGUGUUGAAGCCUUAACCCUCAGUGCAAUGAUAUUUGAAGGUAGAGCUUUUGGGAGAUACUUCACUUUAGUUGAGGUCCAUGAGGAUGGGAUGCUAUCAUGGUAUUAGUUUCCUUAAAAGACAAAGAAGAAACCAAAGCUCACCCUCAUAGAAAGAAGGCAGAUGUCUGUGAUUGGAAGCCAGGAAGAGAGCUCUUAUCAGGGUAUCCUGAUCUUAGACUUCCCAUCCUCCAGAACUAUGACAAAUACAUUCCUGUUGUUAGGCCACCUAGUCGACGGUAUUUUGUUAUAUUAGCACAAACUAAAACAAUGAUAUAAACCAUAACUUAUGUAUGAUUUUAAAUAAUCAUAGCAAUACUAUUUAGCAUUAAGUGAAUAGCAUACUUAAAGAAAAAUAAGGUCUCAUAUACUGAAUAUUAACUAAUUUAUUGAAUGAAUCAAUGGAUUUAAGAUAAGAAUUGGCAGCUCUCUUUGCUCUGACCUGAAAAGAUGUGUGCUACCCUGUCUAUGGUUUAACUGUUUCACAAGACUUGAGAAAGGCCUAGAAACAUAAGGUUGUCAAUUAUAAACAGAAACUGCAGGUGUGCUUAAAAAAUGGCUAGCUGCUCAAAAUACCUUUCCAAUCAGUUAGUGUUUCUCAAUCAGAAAUUCCAUAUUUGUAUUUAAGAUUUCAUCUCUUUAUCUCUGGAAACAGAAAAGACUGGACUUGAUAAUUAAUACCAACACUUACAUUGCAUGUAGUCUUGGACAAACAAUUCAACUCUUUAUUAACUUUGAAAACUUUAUUUGUAAAAUAGUACAAUAAUAUUUCCUUGAAAGGGUAGGUAGCUGACUUAAAAAGACAAUAGAUGUAAAAUUUUGUAAUGCUUAUAAAUGUAUUUAAUAAAGCUAAUUAUUUUCCUUGUUUUAUUAUCCACCUUUUUUUAAGUGUAAAGUUCUAAAAUAAAUAUUAUUUAUUAUCAUGGUUAAAAAUCAUAUUUUGCCUUCUGAUUAUUUCAUUAUUUUGUUUUUCCUAAGAGAACAUGCUUAUGGGAAGGGAAUAAAUAACGUUAGUAGGGAUGCUCUAGAUUCAGUGUUAGUAUGAGAGAGAAUCAUGACAUGAGUCACACAAAUCUCCAAAAUCAAUACUUUGCUUCUGGUAUACUUGUGCCUACAUGAAUCUUUACUUUUACUGUGAUAGCGAUGCAAAGGUAAUGUUAGUAGCAUUAGCUAUAGCAGUCAUCAUAACUCAUGUUUACAUGAGAACUAUUACAUAUUAGGCUUUCUUCUAAGUACAAUACUCAUAGAUAAGUACAUUAAUUACUCCCAUUUUAUUACUAAGAAGAUUGAAACACAAGGUUAAGCAAUUUGUCAAAUGUUACACAAUU
ensembl:lncRNA